UCUACUAUCUAGCAACUUGAGGGCUUUUCUGUUGUCACCUGCAGAUUCCCUGAGACUUCUGAUUAAACGUUAGAAAUAAAGGUAAUCUGUUUAUCUUUGAUUUCUAAAAGUACAGCUGCCUUGGAGAUCUGGGACUUCCACGCCUGUGGUACAUGCCUCUGACAAGACUUCGGUGUCUUCUGGUUACUUGCCCAGUAAAUCCUUCUGGUAGGAAAAAGGCUUCUUAAAGCACAUAGAAAGCAGGAGAAAAUCAAAUUUAGUUUUGUGUGCAUGGAAAAGCCACCUAGACAUGAGACUCCUUCCAAGGAAGACAGCCAUAGAUGAAAAGGAGUCCCACACCAGCGAAUCCAGCAUACAGGAAGAAGGCUCCUGCAAUGGAAAAUAAUACAUUAUUUGUAUGUAUAGUACUAGGUUGGAAAGGGUACUUUAUUUUGACUUUUCUUUUGGGUCAAUCAUGCAUAACUGUGGUCUGACACGGAAUCAAAAAAUAACUAUUGGGAUCUCUGGGUGGCGCAGCGGUUUGGCGCCUGCCUUUGGCCCAGGGCGCGAUCCUAGAGACCCGGGAUCGAAUCCCACGUCGGGCUCCCGGUGCAUGGAGCCUGCUUCUCCCUCUGCCUGUGCCUCUGCCUCUCUCUCUCUCUCUCCAUCAUAAAUAAAUAAAAAUAAAAAAAAUAACUACUGACCUGCUUUACUCUUAUUGUUCUGGGUCUGUGAACAUAAUACAGUUUAUCUUUCUAAGCUCAAGUCAUGUCAUGCCUAACUCAAGAAGAAUGAUAAGCUGGAUUCAGAUAUAACUUCUGCUUUCAAGUGGUUCCUCACUUCCCUGGCUAGAGAUCACU